CAUAACAUAACCGAUAACCUAAAAAUUUAGUAAAGUAAAAAUUUUGAUUGGAAAAAAGUGCAUCGAUAAGGGGGUGUGGGAAAUGGAAAUUAGUGGCUUUUUUGCUGUACUGUCUGCUUCUGCUAGUUUUUGCUCUGGGCUCUGGCUAGAUCUCUUGUUUAAACAAUUUUAAUCAGCUGAAAGUGGCCUACAAAAAAAAACCAAGAAGGAAAUGUAUAGCCUUGUGGCUAUGAAAGGCAAAAGAGAGAUAUAAAAAGUGUAUUGGCUAGUUGGAAGAAAGUCCACAUUGUCCAUGCAUAAUAAGUUAUUACUUUAUCAACAAAUAUCAAGAAGAUAGCAGGGUCACGAGCAUCAACUUCAUAAGUUCAAGAAUAUCGAGGAAAUCCAGCUCCUCGAUACUACUGGGCAAACUAGAAGAUUGAAGAGGACAAAUCCUUUUGAACUAGUUUGAGUGAUAGGUGAUAGUGAAAAACGGAGCAUAGUGCUUGUGUGCUGUGCCUGUGUAUGUUAGAAUAAUAGUGCACGAUCUUGUUAGAUUAGAUAAGAGACGCUAUGGGGUAAGCUCUUCAUUUUAAGAAACAGUAGUAAUUUAGGUUAAAUUAAAAUUGCUCAUUGGUCAGUUAUGACCAGAUUGUUUUUUUAUGUUUGGCAAAAAGGACUUAAGUCAGAAUUGCACAUUGAUAAUGUUUUGAUGAUUUCUGGACCAGAAAAAAACUGUUGUAGAUGUAAACUGUAUGUACAGUAGAAUCUACUACAGUACUGUAGAAAUCAUCAAAACAUUAUCGAUGUGCAAUUCUGACUUAAGCCCUUUUUCCCAAACAUCAGAGAAUUGUAAUGUACAAUAAUUCUCCUAUCUGCUUUUUCAUGAAUUUUGUAGGAGACGAAAAACCAUUUUUAGGAUCAUCUGCUUUCACAUGUAAAUUUUGACAUGUUUUGUAGUAAAUAGAUAGUUUACUACAAAAUAUGUAGUUUACUACAAAAUAGAGAAUUUACUACAAAACAUGUCAAAAAAUAUAUGAAAACAGGAGGUGACUAUAAAAAAAGUUUUUAGUCUCUCUUACAAAACUCAUGAAAAAACAAAUCGGAGGUAUGUCACAUCAGUGACUAAGAAUGUCUAAAAAAUAUACUUUGAUGUCCCAAGAACCAAAUAUAACCUACAGUCCAUCUAAUUUACUUACUGUUCCACGUCAUUAUCUACGCCAGAGAUCUAAGUUGACAUAGUUGCCAAAGUAUAAAAAGAUCCUGAAUCCAUUUUAAAUCAAAUAUGUCACAUAAUUAUUGUAAACGUGGAUUAUACAACAAAACAAAUUAAUAUUCAAUGUAAAUAAGUAAAAACUUAAGAAAUAGAGAACAAGAAUUAAGUUAUAAUCUUUUAAGAUUUGCAGUGCAAGAGUUUUUGCACUGCAUUGUUAAUAAUUAAAAAACGGCUCCGAACUCUUGGCAAAAAGCCGGUAGGUUUCUUUGUAUAAGUAUGUCUACAAUAACAACUAAAAAAGUUGUCAGAUACCUCGAUUAUUCCAAGUCGUUAUAAAAUUAGGUGAAAUUUAUAUUUUUAUAGUAGAGGAUCUUUUUAUAGUAAAGUAAAUAAUAAAAACAGUAAAUAUAAUAAAUAAAACAGAUACUUAUAGUAAAGAAUAUAAACAAAUAUGAAGUGUCAUCACCGUAACUGUCAAAUAAAUGUUACCAAUUUAUUCUAAAAUGUCACCUUCGUUCGAUUACAGUUACAGUGUGAUCCGAACAAAUCUGCUUCAUAAAAACGCUUUAUAAUCCAUUUAUACAAAUUAAAUGAAACAUAUUAUUGUGUAUUUCUUUAGGUUAACAUUAAUAGAAAUCUUCAAAUAUUAUUUCUACGCGUAUAUAAUAAAAUAUGUCUAGUGGCUGUAAUUCCAGUGUACUCGGCAAAGUGAUUCUAAAAAAGAACACACCUACCGCCUAAAUAUUUCGUGUUGGUAUCAUGCGACCUCACAGGCUACGACGCGGAUGACGCGCAACAGUUAGUAAAUUAGACGAAGUAUGUAGAUAUAUACAGGGUGUAACAAAAAUACAGGUCAUAAAUUUAAUCACAUAUUCUGGGACCAAAAAUAGUUUGAUUGGACCUAACUUACCUUAGUACAAAUGUGCACACAAGAAAAGUUACAGCCCUUUGAAGUUAUAUAUAUAUAUAAUAGCACCAAGGGUCUUAGAGGCCCAUGGCUUGAAAAGUUUGUUUUUUUUCUUCAUUUUCACGUUUCUUUAUGUACUGAGAUCUUCUCUGGCUUGAUAUGUGAUUUUUCUCCAUUCCUUCCUGUUAUUCAUUUUUCUUUUCUGACCCUGUAGCACCAUUCUUUCCAAAUCUUUUUCGACCUCUUGCUUCCAUCUAUUUUUCGGCCUUCCUCUUCUCUUUCUUGAAGCUGUAGUGUAGUUUAGUACCAUUUUUGGAGUCCUCGUGUUUGGCAUCCUUUCAAUGUGACCUCGCCAUCUAAGUCUCUGUGCCUUUAUCACUCAUUUGAAGUUACAAGAUGAAGUGAUUUUUUCCAAUAUAUCGAAAACUAUUAGAGAUUUUUUAUUGAAAAUGGACAUGUGGCAUUAUUAUGGCAGCAGUAUCUUACGAAAAAACUAUAGUAAAAUUUGGACACCCCAUAAAAAUUUUAUGGGGGUUUUGUUCCUUUAAACCCCCCCAAACUUUUGUGCACGUUUCAAUUUAAUUAUUAUUGUAGUACCAUUUAAACACAACGUUUUAAAAACUUUUUUGCCUCUUAUUGCUUUUUCAAAAAGUCAAUUUUUAUCGAAAUAUUUUGAAUAUUUGUCAAAUCCACCACAUAUUUGUAUAUGGUUAAGUACGAUUAUGGAAACUUGGUAAUAAUAUGCAGACUUAUUUAUGCUUUACAUUUUUAGGGAUAUUUUGAACCAUAUUAAAAAAGAAGCCAGAUCUCGAUAAAAUGUGCCUUAUCGAAAAAAUACAAAGAGGCAAAAAAGUUUUAAAAACAUUCUGUUUAACUAAUGGUACCUCAGUAAUAGUUUAAUUGGAACGUACACAAACAUUUGGGGGGUUUAAAGGAACAAAACCCCCAUAAAAUUUUUAUGUAGACAUGUUAAAAAAGAAGUCACAACUCGAUAAAAACUGCCUUAUCUGAAAAAUACUAAGAAACAAAAAUAUUGAAUUUAACUAAUGGUACCACAAUAAUAAAAUUGAAUUGGAACAUACACAAAAGUUUGGGAGGAUCUAAGGGAUCAAAACCCCCAUAAAAUUUUUAUGGGGUGCACAAAUUUCACCAUAAUUUUUCUUUAAGAUAUUCCUGCCAUAAUACUGCCACAUGUCCAUUUUCAAUAAAAAAUCGCUAAUAGUUUUUGAUAUAAUCGAAAAAAUCGAUUUUCAUUUUGUAAUUUCAAAGGGCUGUAACUUUUUUUAUGUGCAUAUUUGUACUAAGGUAAGUUAGGUUCAUUCAAACUAUUUUUGGUCCCAGAAUAUGUGAUUUAAUUUAUGACGUGUAUUUUUGUUACACCCUGUAUAUACAGCCGAUUACGCACCACCUUAAAAAUUGGGCAUUUUUGAUGUCUCGAAUUUCCUAAACCUGUUGUUGCAUCUAAGUGAUUUUUUUAUAAUAUUCUAGCCUAGGCCCUAGGCUAUAGGUUAAGUACCUCCUUAUGCUUGUCAUGCACGGGGAGCUAUACUGUAAUAUAUAUUAUAUCACAUCGCACUCUAUAGUAAUGAGUGAGCCUGCACAUAUGGAACCAUUUGUUUUCUGUCUGCAGGCUCACUCAUUACUAUAGAGAGCGAUAUGAUAUAAUGUACAUAUAUUACAGCAUAGCUCCCUGUGCAUGACAAGCUUAAGGAGGUAACCUAUAGCCUAGGCUAUAAUAUUAUAAAAAAAUCACUUAGAUGAAACAACAGGUUUAGGAAAUACGAGACAUCAAAAAUACCCCAUAUUUAAGGUGGUGCGUUAAUUUCUUGGAGAAGUGUAUUGUAAUUUAAUGUAAAUAAUGUAAUAUCCAAUAAUUGUAAUUUAAUAUAAGAUGUAAUAUAAGUUCCUUAAAAAAUAUAUUUUUUAUUUCCCACGACAUUAGAUGGAUGUUCGGCAGCAAGACAUUGGACCAAACUGGGACGUCCUAUGAAGGCCCAAUUGACGUCCACCGAACGUCCCUUCGGAUGUUAAGUGGACCUCCAUUGGGCGUUUGGCAACGUGGCAUUUGGACCAAAAUUGGACGUCCUGUUAAAGUCCAAUUCACGUCCCCUAGAACGUCCGGUUAAGGUCCAAUUUACUUCCGAUUAAGGUCCAAUUUACGUCCGAUUAAGGUCCCAUUUACGUCCAAUUAAGGUCCAAUUUACGUCCUAUUAAGGUCCAAUUUACGUCCUAUUAAGGUCCAAUUUACGUCCGAUUAAGGUCCAAUUUACGUCCGAUUAAGGUCCAAUUUACGUCCGAUUAAGGUCCCAUUUACGUCCGAUUAAGGUCCAAUUUACGUCCUAUUAAAGUCCAAUUUACGUCCGGUUAAGGUCCAAUUUACGUCCGAUUAAGGUCCCAUUUACGUCCCAUUAAGGUCCAAUUUACGUCCUAUUAAGGUCCAAUUUACGUCCGAUUAAGGUCCAAUUUACGUCCGAUUAAGGUCCAAUUUAUGUCCGAUUAAGGUCCAAUUUACGUCCGAUUAAGGUCCAAUUUAUGUCCGAUUAAGGUCCAAUUUACGUCCGAUUAAGGUCCAAUUUACGUCCCCUAGGACGUCCGAUCAAGGUCCAAAUUACGUCCGAUUAAGGUCCAAUAUACGUCCCCUCGGACCUUAGAUGGACGUCCAAUGGACGUUCGGUAGCGCGACAUUUGGACCAAAAUAGGACGUAUAAAGGACGUUCCUCGGACGAAAACGGACGUCCAAUGGACGUCCCUAAAGUCCGUGAAGGACGUCCAUUGGACGUCCUUGUGCUAUUAGGGUAUUUGGUCCGAGGAUAUUCUUUGAAGUAUAUGCAAAAAACAUGAAAUUUAGAAUGUUUUUAUAGUAUAUGCUAUGCUUCUACUACACACAUACUAAAAAGAAUAUAUUCCGACGAAUGUUGGUAGUAUAAUAUGCUUCGAACAUGAUGGAAAGAUCAUUGUAAUGUAGUAUAAUGUUGAUAAUUUUAUUUUUAUUGGACUGCAGUUUGUUAAUAAAUUUAUAAAUAAAUAGGUAUAUUAUAUUGGUGACUGAUUUAAGUAUUUUAUUAUUAUUAGCAGUUUAUUAAUAAAUUUAUAAAUAGAUACAUGA
rnacentral:lncRNA from 1 species